rnacentral:rRNA from 1 species
UUAAGCGACUAAGCGUACACGGUGGAUGCCCUGGCAGUCAGAGGCGAUGAAGGACGUGCUAAUCUGCGAUAAGCGUCGGUGAGGUGAUAUGAACCGUUAUAACCGGCGAUUUCCGAAUGGGGAAACCCAGUGUGUUUCGACACACUAUCAUUAACUGAAUCCAUAGGUUAAUGAGGCGAACCGGGGGAACUGAAACAUCUAAGUACCCCGAGGAAAAGAAAUCAACCGAGAUUCCCCCAGUAGCGGCGAGCGAACGGGGAGGAGCCCAGAGCCUGAAUCAGUGUGUGUGUUAGUGGAAGCGUCUGGAAAGGCGUGCGAUACAGGGUGACAGCCCCGUACACAAAAAUGCACAUAUUGUGAGCUCGAUGAGUAGGGCGGGACACGUGGUAUCCUGUCUGAAUAUGGGGGGACCAUCCUCCAAGGCUAAAUACUCCUGACUGACCGAUAGUGAACCAGUACCGUGAGGGAAAGGCGAAAAGAACCCCGGCGAGGGGAGUGAAAAAGAACCUGAAACCGUGUACGUACAAGCAGUGGGAGCCUCUUAAUGGGGUGACUGCGUACCUUUUGUAUAAUGGGUCAGCGACUUAUAUUCUGUAGCAAGGUUAACCGAAUAGGGGAGCCGAAGGGAAACCGAGUCUUAACUGGGCGUUAAGUUGCAGGGUAUAGACCCGAAACCCGGUGAUCUAGCCAUGGGGCAGGUUGAAGGUUGGGUAACACUAACUGGAGGACCGAACCGACUAAUGUUGAAAAAUUAGCGGAUGACUUGUGGCUGGGGGUGAAAGGCCAAUCAAACCGGGAGAUAGCUGGUUCUCCCCGAAAGCUAUUUAGGUAGCGCCUCGUGAAUUCAUCUCCGGGGGUAGAGCACUGUUUCGGCAAGGGGGUCAUCCCGACUUACCAACCCGAUGCAAACUGCGAAUACCGGAGAAUGUUAUCACGGGAGACACACGGCGGGUGCUAACGUCCGUCGUGAAGAGGGAAACAACCCAGACCGCCAGCUAAGGUCCCAAAGUCAUGGUUAAGUGGGAAACGAUGUGGGAAGGCCCAGACAGCCAGGAUGUUGGCUUAGAAGCAGCCAUCAUUUAAAGAAAGCGUAAUAGCUCACUGGUCGAGUCGGCCUGCGCGGAAGAUGUAACGGGGCUAAACCAUGCACCGAAGCUGCGGCAGCGACGCUUAUGCGUUGUUGGGUAGGGGAGCGUUCUGUAAGCCUGUGAAGGUGUACUGUGAGGUAUGCUGGAGGUAUCAGAAGUGCGAAUGCUGACAUAAGUAACGAUAAAGCGGGUGAAAAGCCCGCUCGCCGGAAGACCAAGGGUUCCUGUCCAACGUUAAUCGGGGCAGGGUGAGUCGACCCCUAAGGCGAGGCCGAAAGGCGUAGUCGAUGGGAAACAGGUUAAUAUUCCUGUACUUGGUGUUACUGCGAAGGGGGGACGGAGAAGGCUAUGUUGGCCGGGCGACGGUUGUCCCGGUUUAAGCGUGUAGGCUGGUUUUCCAGGCAAAUCCGGAAAAUCAAGGCUGAGGCGUGAUGACGAGGCACUACGGUGCUGAAGCAACAAAUGCCCUGCUUCCAGGAAAAGCCUCUAAGCAUCAGGUAACAUCAAAUCGUACCCCAAACCGACACAGGUGGUCAGGUAGAGAAUACCAAGGCGCUUGAGAGAACUCGGGUGAAGGAACUAGGCAAAAUGGUGCCGUAACUUCGGGAGAAGGCACGCUGAUAUGUAGGUGAAGCGACUUGCUCGUGGAGCUGAAAUCAGUCGAAGAUACCAGCUGGCUGCAACUGUUUAUUAAAAACACAGCACUGUGCAAACACGAAAGUGGACGUAUACGGUGUGACGCCUGCCCGGUGCCGGAAGGUUAAUUGAUGGGGUUAGCGGUAACGCGAAGCUCUUGAUCGAAGCCCCGGUAAACGGCGGCCGUAACUAUAACGGUCCUAAGGUAGCGAAAUUCCUUGUCGGGUAAGUUCCGACCUGCACGAAUGGCGUAAUGAUGGCCAGGCUGUCUCCACCCGAGACUCAGUGAAAUUGAACUCGCUGUGAAGAUGCAGUGUACCCGCGGCAAGACGGAAAGACCCCGUGAACCUUUACUAUAGCUUGACACUGAACAUUGAGCCUUGAUGUGUAGGAUAGGUGGGAGGCUUUGAAGUGUGGACGCCAGUCUGCAUGGAGCCGACCUUGAAAUACCACCCUUUAAUGUUUGAUGUUCUAACGUUGGCCCCUGAUCGGGGUUGCGGACAGUGUCUGGUGGGUAGUUUGACUGGGGCGGUCUCCUCCUAAAGAGUAACGGAGGAGCACGAAGGUUGGCUAAUCCUGGUCGGACAUCAGGAGGUUAGUGCAAUGGCAUAAGCCAGCUUGACUGCGAGCGUGACGGCGCGAGCAGGUGCGAAAGCAGGUCAUAGUGAUCCGGUGGUUCUGAAUGGAAGGGCCAUCGCUCAACGGAUAAAAGGUACUCCGGGGAUAACAGGCUGAUACCGCCCAAGAGUUCAUAUCGACGGCGGUGUUUGGCACCUCGAUGUCGGCUCAUCACAUCCUGGGGCUGAAGUAGGUCCCAAGGGUAUGGCUGUUCGCCAUUUAAAGUGGUACGCGAGCUGGGUUUAGAACGUCGUGAGACAGUUCGGUCCCUAUCUGCCGUGGGCGCUGGAGAACUGAGGGGGGCUGCUCCUAGUACGAGAGGACCGGAGUGGACGCAUCACUGGUGUUCGGGUUGUCAUGCCAAUGGCACUGCCCGGUAGCUAAAUGCGGAAGAGAUAAGUGCUGAAAGCAUCUAAGCACGAAACUUGCCCCGAGAUGAGUUCUCCCUGAGACUU